AAUAUUUGACAAUGGGGGGAACCCUGAUCCAGCCAUGCCGCGUGUGUGAAGAAGGUCUUCGGAUUGUAAAGCACUUCAAGUUGGGGGGAAGCGUUGUAGGCUAAUACCUUGCAAUUUUGACGUUCCCAACCGAAUAAGCACCGGCCAACUACCUUCCCGCAGCCGCGGUAAUACGCAGGGUGCAAGCGUUAAUCGGAAUUACUGGGCGUAAAGCGCGCGUAGGUGGUUCGUUAAGUUGGAAGUGAAAGACCCGGGCUUAACCUGGGAAUUGCUUUCAAAACUGACGAGCUAGAGUACGGUAGAGGGUAGUGGAAUUUCCUGUGUAGCGGUGAAAUGCGUAGAUAUAGGAAGGAACAUCAGUGGCGAAGGCGACUACCUGGACUGAUACUGACACUGAGGUGCGAAAGCGUGGGGAGCAAACAGG
rnacentral:rRNA from 1 species